rnacentral:rRNA from 1 species
GACGAACGCUGGCGGCGUGCUUAACACAUGCAAGUCGAACGGUGAAGCGCCUUCCUUUUUGGUGGGUGUGGAUGAGUGGCGAACGGGUGAGUAACACGUGAGUAACCUGCCCCCUUCUUCUGGAUAACCGCAUGAAAGUGUGGCUAAUACGGGAUAUUCUGGGUCUGUCGCAUGAUGGGUCUGGGAAAGAUAUUGUUUCGGUGGGGGAUGGGCUCGCGGCCUAUCAGCUUGUUGGUGGGGUGAUGGCCUACCAAGGCGGUGACGGGUAGCCGGCCUGAGAGGGAGGGGGGGAAGGCGGGGGGUGAGGACCGGGCGGGACGCGAGCGGGAGGCAGCGGUGGGGAAGGUGGGAGAGUGGGCGGGGGGGUGAUGCAGCGACGCGGCGUGGAGGAUGGAGGCCUUGGGGUGGGGAUGGGCUGGCGCCAGGGAAGCAGGAGGGCCUGGUUUGUGGCUGGCUGGACGGGAGGGGAAUAAGAAGCGCCGGCUACCUACGUG